GCUCGCAGGAUCAGCCCAGAGAGUCAAGCAAACAAAAGUAGAGCAUCUUUCCCCCAAAGAUUACUUAGAUGCACGAAGAAGGGGUAUCUGUGACACACUAAAAUGCACAGACAUGCCAAAAGUCCUUUGCCCGAAAUUAUAUCUGCUUUGUACAAAUUGUGGUAAGCUACAUAUAAGUUUCAUGAAUGAAUGGACAACAUCACUUGAUUUGGUAUAUUGAUUCCCUUCACUGACUCCCUCCCCUCGCCCACAGUCAUUUACUUUCAAAAUAUCAUUGCCUGCUGAAGAAAUUAGCUGGCAUACUACCAAAAGGAAGUAUAUUUCACUAAAUGGAGUUCCUGAAAUGCAGCUUUUGUUUUUUGUUUCUUUCUGCUCUGCCAGCAACUUCAGAUUAUGAGAAAGUAUAUUCUCCGCAUUGCGUAGCAGAAGACAGUUCAGGACUGUUCCAGAAGGUGCAGCUGCUAUUCGGUACAAAGUACAAAGCAGGGGGAAAGCUUGAGGAAGAGACUGAAGAAACUUUUGAACAAAAGAUCUGUUUUCCUUUCUGAAAUGAAGGAAACAGUUUGACGUGGAGUGAAGUACUAGGCCCUCCUAGUGAAAAAGCUAACAGAAAAGGGGGCUGGUCCAAUGUGAAAACAGAAUUGGAGGCAGAGCUGGAAAUAAGGUCUCUUCAUGAGGGAAUGAAAAGGACAAGGUUCAGUGAAAACCAUAGUGAGCAAAAUUCUCCCAGCGGAUUGAAAGGACUUUGCUGCAAAAUUCCUUAAUGAAGGAAACCCACAGGUUUGCUGGGAUGCCGGUAGGCUAGAUGGCAGGAAAUUGGAAAAUUUUACUCAGCUUGAAAAUAAAGAUUCAGAUGCUGGUCAUAAUAGCCCAUGUAUGUAGCUCUCUGUGCAACAACGGACAAAUGACCAAUUGCCAACUGCCAGCUUGUGACCAGAAAUCAGGAAAGGUGGCCAGUAAAAAAAAUAAAUAAAUAAAACAAAUGCCUUGUCGUUGAGGAGGAAGGAA